GCCCCCUGUCUACCUAAAGAAACUUUCUUUGC
rnacentral:piRNA from 1 species